UACGUAGGCAGCGAGCGUUGUUCGGAAUUACUGGGCGUAAAGAGUGUGUAGGCGGUGCUCUAAGUCAGACGUGAAAUCCCUCGGCUUAACCGGGGAACUGCAUCUGAUACUGGAUGGCUUGAGUUCGGGAGAGGGAUGCGGAAUUCCAGGUGUAGCGGUGAAAUGCGUAGAUAUCUGGAGGAACACCGGUGGCGAAGGCGGCAUCCUGGACCGACACUGACGCUGAGGAGCGAAAGCCAGGGGAGCAAACGGG
rnacentral:rRNA from 1 species